GAUGAAGAACGUAGCGAAAUGCGAUAAGUAGUGUGAAUUGCAGAAUUCAGUGAAUCAUCGAAUCUUUGAACGCACAUUGCGCCCCUUGGUAUCCCGAGGGGCAUGCCUGUUCGAGCGUCAUUUCACCACUCAAGCCUGGCUUGGUGUUGGGCGACGUCCCCUUUGGGGACGCGCCUCGAAACGCUCGGCGGCGUGGCACCGGCUUUAAGCGUAGCAGAAUCUUUCGCUUUGGAAGUCGGGGCCCCGUCUGCCGGAAGACCUACUCGCAAGGUUGACCUCGGAUCAGGCAGGGAUACCCGCUGAACUUAAGCAUAUCAAAUAAGCGGAGGA
rnacentral:misc_RNA from 1 species